CAUUUAUAAACCCUCCUGCCCUCAUUGUUUUACUGUUGGUCUUCAGUAUGAUGACUUUUCAGAUCCUCCUGGGGGCUUCCCUUGUUGUCUUGCUGAUUCUGGAUGUCUGUGGUCUUCCUGUCAAAGAUCCAAGACCACAGCUCCAGGGAGGCAGUGGCAUCAAAGCAGCAUCUCAGGGAGUAGCGGCUCC